rnacentral:rRNA from 1 species
CCUGCGGAGGGAUCAUUAUAGAGUUUUCUAAACUCCCAACCCAUGUGAACUUACCUUUUGUUGCCUCGGCAGAAGUUAUAGGUCUUCUUAUAGCUGCUGCCGGUGGACCAUUAAACUCUUGUUAUUUUAUGUAAUCUGAGCGUCUUAUUUUAAUAAGUCAAAACUUUCAACAACGGAUCUCUUGGUUCUGGCAUCGAUGAAGAACGCAGCGAAAUGCGAUAAGUAAUGUGAAUUGCAGAAUUCAGUGAAUCAUCGAAUCUUUGAACGCACAUUGCGCCCAUUAGUAUUCUAGUGGGCAUGCCUGUUCGAGCGUCAUUUCAACCCUUAAGCCUAGCUUAGUGUUGGGAAUCUACUUCUCUUAGGAGUUGUAGUUCCUGAAAUACAACGGCGGAUUUGUAGUAUCCUCUGAGCGUAGUAAUUUUUUUUCUCGCUUUUGUUAGGUGCUAUAACUCCCAGCCGCUAAACCCCCAAUUUUUUGUGGUUGACCUCGGAUCAGGUAGGAAUACCCGCUGAACUUAAGCAUAUCAAUAAGCGGAGG